AAUAUCAACCAUUAGGGUUUCCUAAUCGGCUUGGACUUGGGCAUUGCCAUCUGGCUUGCCUUAAAUGCGUUAGUGGAUGACCCAUUAGCUUGACGUAAUAAGUUUCGUCAGUCGAGUGGUCAGCAUUUGCUUACAACAACCAAUAUUUCUUAAU
rnacentral:misc_RNA from 1 species